CCUGGGCACAGCUGUUCCCACUUUCAACCCAGGACUCUCCAGACUCGGACAGACAGAAGGCUGACUUGUGCCUGGGUGACACAAGGAGACAAAAGAGAAUUCUUUGAAUUUUCUGGAUAGAAUCCUGAAACUUUGAGCAUGAAGACAGGAACCGGGGACUCCUUCAGUUGUCAAAAAGGGGCCAGAAUCCACUGCUGGUGCGGAGCUAUGAUUCGAUGACCCAGAUAACAGUUAAGCACUUCUGGGAGGCAGUGCACAUCUGUAGAUGGCAUUGUGGUCCCAGCAAAUCAACAGUUCUAUCAGCGGGCGGAUGGUGCUCCUGGGGCAGAAGCUUUGACUUUCUCCUCCCUUGCUGACUGCAGAGAAGAGGAACAGAAACACACAUGGCUUUUGGAACGAAAUGGAGAUACAUGUCCAGGGUGGUAUUCCCAUUGGUCACAACUUUGCCUCUGAUUACUUUCUUUGGCUCUUUGCUGGGAUCCUUCUGACACCUUCUAAAGUAAGAAGAAAUGUUUCUCUGGUCCUCAAAGUGGACCCUCGUUCAUGCUCCUCUUCACAUCCCCCUCCAGCGUCUCUAUGGCAUCCUCAGACAGAAUUCCUUAGAACACAGAGAGGAGAAGAGCAUGGGAAUGUACUGGAAAUGGAAGGAUCUUAGAGAGCAUCUCAUCUAGCCUUUUAUUCAAGAAGAACCUGAGGUCUUGGGACGGGAAGGAAAUUGCACAUUGUCAUCCAGCUAAUAAAUGAUGAGAUAACACAUGUAAAGAAGUUUUCAAAUUUUAAAGAACUAUGUAGUAAUAUAAUAUAUA